rnacentral:rRNA from 1 species
UACGUAGGGUGCAAGCGUUGUCCGGAAUUAUUGGGCGUAAAGAGCUCGUAGGCGGUUUGUCGCGUCUGCUGUGAAAACUCGGGGCUUAACCCCGGGCCUGCAGUGGGUACGGGCAGACAAGAGUGCGGUAGGGGAGACUGGAAUUCCUGGUGUAGCGGUGAAAUGCGCAGAUAUCAGGAGGAACACCGGUGGCGAAGGCGGGUCUCUGGGCCGUAACUGACGCUGAGGAGCGAAAGCGUGGGGAGCGAACAGG